GAUGAACGCUGGCGGCGUGCUUAACACAUGCAAGUCGAACGAGAAGUGAAGACGGAAACCUUCGGGCGGAAGGCUUUAUUUCGAGUGGCGGACGGGUGAGUAACGCGUGGGUAACCUGCCUCAUACAGGGGGAUAACAGUUGGAAACGACUGUUAAUACCGCAUAAGACCACAGCACCGCAUGGUGCGGGGGUAAAAACUCCGGUGGUAUGAGAUGGACCCGCGUUCGAUUAGCCAGUUGGCGGGGUAACGGCCCACCAAAGCGACGAUCGAUAGCCGAUCUGAGAGGAUGACCGGCCACAGUGGGACUGAGACACGGCCCAAACUCCUACGGGAGGCAGCAGUGGGGAAUAUUGCACAAUGGGGGAAGCCCUGAUGCAGCGACGCCGCGUGAGUGAAGAAGUAUUUCGGUAUGUAAAGCUCUAUCAGCAGGGAAGAAAAUGACGGUACCUGAGUAAGAAGCCCCGGCUAACUACGUG
rnacentral:rRNA from 1 species